rnacentral:lncRNA from 1 species
UAAAGACUGAAAAGUAUUCCUCUUGUUAUGUAGGUGGGCGCCUAGGACAUGAAAUGUAAAGACUGAAAAGUAUUCCUCUUGUUAUGUAGGUGGGCGUCUAGGACAUGAAAUGUAAAGACUGAAAAGUAUUCCUCUUGUUAUGUAGGUGGGCGCCUAGGACAUGAAAUGUAAAGACUGAAAAGUAUUCCUCUUGUUAUGUAGGUGGGCGCCUAGGACAUGAAAUGUAAAGACUGAAAAGUAUUCCUCUUGUUAUACAGGUGGGCGCCUAUUAAGACUAAGACAUGAAAAUAUUCCUCUUGUUAUACAGGUGGGCGCCUAUUUAAACUAAG